CCUACGGGAGGCAGCAGUGGGGAAUAUUGCACAAUGGGGGAAACCCUGAUGCAGCGACGCCGCGUGAGUGAAGAAGUAUUUCGGUACGUAAAGCUCUAUCAGCAGGGAAGAAAAUGACGGUACCUGACUAAGAAGCCCCGGCUAACUACGUGCCAGCAGCCGCGGUAAUACGUAGGGGGCAAGCGUUAUCCGGAUUUACUGGGUGUAAAGGGAGCGUAGACGGCAGCGCAAGUCUGGAGUGAAAUCCCAUGGCUUAACCAUGGAACUGCUUUGGAAACUGUGCAGCUAGAGUGCAGGAGAGGUAAGCGGAAUUUCUAGUGUAGCGGUGAAAUGCGUAGAUAUUAGGCGGAACACCAGUGGCGAAGGCAGCUUACUGGACUGUAACUGACGUUGAGGCUCGAAAGCGUGGGGAGCAAACAGGAUUAGAUACCCGGGUAGUC
rnacentral:rRNA from 1 species